AAGCUAAAGCUUGCUUUGGUGGAUUAGUGGCGAACGGGUGAGUAACACGUGAGUAACCUGCCCCCGACUCUGGGAUAAGCCUGGGAAACUGGGUCUAAUACCGGAUAUGACCUCCUACCGCAUGGUGGUGGUGGAAAGAUUUAUCGGUGGGGGAUGGACUCGCGGCCUAUCAGCUUGUUGGUGAGGUAAUGGCUCACCAAGGCGACGACGGGUAGCCGGCCUGAGAGGGUGACCGGCCACACUGGGACUGAGACCGGCCCAGACUCCUACGGGAGGCAGCAGUGGGGAAUAUUGCACAAUGGGCGAAAGCCUGAUGCAGCGACGCCGCGUGAGGGAUGACGGCCUUCGGGUUGUAAACCUCUUUCAGUAGGGAAGAAGCGAAGUGACGGUACCUGCAGAAGAAGCGCCGGCUAACUACGUGCCAGCAGCCCGCCGGUAAUACGUAGGGCGCAAGCGUUAUCCGGAUUUAUUGGGCGUAAAGAGCUCGUAGGCGGUUGUCGCGUCUGCCUGAAAGUCCGAGGCUCAACCUCGGAUCUGCGGUGGGUACGGGCAGACUAGAGUGAUGUAGGGGAGACUGGAAUUCCUGGUGUAGCGGUGAAAUGCGCAGAUAUCAGGAGGAACACCGAUGGCGAAGGAGGUCUCUGGGCAUUUACUGACGCUGAGGAGCGAAAGCAUGGGGAGCGAACAGGAUUAGAUACCCUGGUAGUCCAUGCCGUAAACGUUGGGCACUAGGUGUGGGGGACAUUCCACGUUUUCCGCGCCUAGCUAACGCAUUAAGUGCCCCGCCUGGGGAGUACGGCCGCAAGGCUAAAACUCAAAGGAAUUGACGGGGGCCCGCACAAGCGGCGGAGCAUGCGGAUUAAUUCGAUGCAACGCGAAGAACCUUACCAGGCUUGACAUGUUCCAGACCGGGCUAGAGAUAGUCCUUCCCUUCGGGGCUGGUUCACAGGUGGUGCAUGGUUGUCGUCAGCUCGUGUCGUGAGAUGUUGGGUUAAGUCCCGCAACGAGCGCAACCCCGUUCCAUGUUGCCAGCACGUAGUGGUGGGGACUCAUGGGAGACUGCCGGGGUCAACUCGGAGGAAGGUGGGGAUGACGUCAAAUCAUCAUGCCCCUUAUGUCUUGGGCUUCACGCAUGCUACAAUGCCGGUACAAUGGGUUGCGAUACUGUGAGGUGGAGCUAAUCCCUAAAAGCCGGUCUCAGUUCGGAUUGGGGUCUGCAACUCGACCCCAUGAAGUCGGAGUCGCUAGUAAUCGCAGAUCAGCAACGCUGGGUGAAUACGUUCCCGGGCCUUGUACACACCGCCCGUCAAGUCACGAAAGUUGGUAACACCCGAAGCCGAUGGCCUAACCA
rnacentral:rRNA from 1 species